rnacentral:rRNA from 1 species
GAUGAACGCUGGCGGCGUGCCUAAUACAUGCAAGUCGAGCGAACGGACGAGAAGCUUGCUCCUCUGAUGUUAGCGGCGGACGGGUGAGUAACACGUGGAUAACCUACCUAUAAGACUGGGAUAACUUCGGGAAACCGGAGCUAAUACCGGAUAAUAUUUUGAACCGCAUGGUUCAAAAGUGAAAGACGGUUUUGCUGUCACUUAUAGAUGGAUCCGCGCUGCAUUAGCUAGUUGGUAAGGUAACGGCUUACCAAGGCAACGAUGCAUAGCCGACCUGAGAGGGUGAUCGGCCACACUUGAACCGAGACACGGUCCAGACUCCUACGGGAGGCAGCAGGUGGGAAUCUUUCGGAAUGGGCGGAAGCCUGACCGAGGCAACGCGCGGGGGGGAAUAAGGGCUUUCGGAUGUAAAACCCUUUUUAUGGGGAAGAAAAAAAUGUGUAAGAAACUGUGCAGUUCUUACGGUACCCAAAUAAGAAGGCACGGCCUACUUCGUG